GAGAGUGAGGAGUACGUAGACAGGAUUAAACCGGUUUAUGAGUCAUCCCAACCAGAAGAACACCCCUCCCCAAAAAACACUUGUGGACACACACACACACACACCCACACACAGUGAAAUAGCACAGAAGGCCUCUCUAGGCUUUGGGCCUGGUGCACACAGUGAUGUGUUAAUGGCGGCGCAGGUUUCCUGCUACUUUCACUACACGUCACCAUCACUUCUUUAUAACAGCUUCUUGCACAAUCCUCACGGUCACCAAACCUACAUGUACUUAAACCAAGUAUACUUGUACUUGUACAGCGUCUUUCUAGUAUCCCGACCGCUCCGAGCGCUUUAACACUACAUGUCAUCCUUCAUACACUGAUUACAGCAGCUACGGUGCACAGCGCCGCCUGCCCAUCAGGAACUAUCAUCUACGUAGUCACAGCUACAGGAGCAUGCGGCUAGAAGGGCCCGGGGUCGAACCGCCGAUCCUCUGAUUGGAGGACGGCCGUGCUUCUCACUUAUAGUAGAUCUUUUAUGACAAGGACAUUGUCCUCAAAAAGAGGACAAGUCCCCACAAUUUUACUGUGCACAGGUCCAUGUCCCACAACACGAGUAAUACAUUGUAGUAAGUAUUUAAUAUUUUCGUGUAUGAUGCCGGUUGAAUUGCGUGUGUGUGUGUGUGUGUGUGUGUGUGUGUGUGUGUGUGAGUGUGUGUGUGAGUGUGUGUGUGUGUGUGUGUGUGUGUGUGUGUGUGUGUGUGUUCAGUUUUGACCAAAUCCCCAUGUAAUGUUUAUUCUAAUGAGGUUUACGGUCCCCACCGCUGGACUCCCAUGUAACAAAGCCAGAGACAGUGAAGACAUUUCUAUCUACAGCAGGGGAGCGUCACUUCGCUCCUGCUGCAGGUGGAAAGUACCUUUCCUUCCCUUCUGGGAAAACCAGCCUUUUACGGGAAUCAGAUCUCAUGAGAACAGAAAAGUAGGACCGAGUGCGCCCUCUCCCCAGGACGGCCAAACCGUUCGCCCGACCACCAGCCGGUUCUCGUUGUAUUUCUUUAUUUCGAUAAGCCGCUCUGAUUAUCGCUAUGUUAACGCAUGCUAAUGCUAAGGCAAUAGUGGGACAUGUGUAUCGGCAUAAAUAAAUAAGCAGAGCGGGUGCGCUCUGUCCGCUGGCUUCCGUCGGUUACCAAAACAUUGCUCAAAUGACCCGUUUCAGACUUAAUCAACAUAGAAUGCCUUUGUGUUCAUUACUAAAGCCUCACAUUAAGACAUACGUCACUUUAUUUAAGACGCUGUGCUACUUGCGAGUGGCUGUGAUCUGCUAGAUUGUCACUAAAGUUAGAAAAAAGCAUGUACGGCAAACCCACGGUCACGAAGAUACUCAUUUAACGUGACAUGGUAUUUGCGUGUCGUUAAAACACCCAACUGAGAUCGACUUAUGCCGUUCUGAAAAAGGAACCUGCCACCGACCACUUUUCGCACUCGGCGUCACUCAGAAAGUAUCCAUUCAACUUUGUUGAUUUCCCGUGUCAGAUUAUUAUUUUACCACGUGAAUACUGUGAUUUGCAUUGAUUUCACUCUCACCGCACCACGCUAGUUUCUGAGUAACAUGUCGGUUCAUCUGGAGACACGCACGUAUCUAACUUGUCGUUACCACGUCUGUUUUAUUCUGGUUUAUUCUCGAUUUUCAAUUGAAUGCCUCAAGUUUGGUUUCGCUUUAGAUCUUUAGUCUUUUCGCGCAAACAUAUUUAAUACUUACCGAUAAGGACGAAGAAGAUCCGUAACUUGCUAUAAAUCAUCUUUAGGCCAAUGUGCGCGGAACUUCAGUUCAGCAGGAUGUUAACAUCUGGCAGCCUUCGAUAGAGUGUUCGGCGAGACGCGGGAUGGGGUGAUUUAUAGCUGCCCGCCUCCUGCAAACCCGUGACAACAGGUUUACCGUAAAUGAUUUUGUUUUAACUCUUGAGAAAUUAACGUCACCACAACACAUGCCGCGCCUUUAAACCAGAUCCAAAAAGGCAGUGGCGGAUCUAGAAAAUUUUACAUGGGGGGGCAAAGGGGUGGCAAGAGGUCUUGGCAGGGUGGCAGGGAUGACGGUACAUAGGAAUCCCUAUAUGUGAAUUGCUUCAACAAAACAAACACAAAAACACUUUUAAACUUAAGGUUUUUAAUUCACAACAUGAAUGAAACAUUUGUUCAAACAAAACAAAGCUGCAAUUUUUACUUUGUCUCAAGAGUAUAAUAGUUAAAAAAAAAAAAGAAGUCAUAUUUACCUGAGCCCUUACUGUCUAACAGGGGGCCUCGGACAUAUCAAAAUUGAAUAAAGUGAUCAAACUGCGUGCACUGCAUAAAUUAUUCAUUAAAUAUAGACUAAUCAUUAUUUAAGCUACAAAAGUUCUUUAGUCAAGAGCAGUAAGAAAUGUUCUGUUGUUUUUGUUCUUAGCUUUACUGACAGAACGCUUUAGUGCAUAGGUCACUAACUGGCGGACCGCGGUCCGGGUCCGGACCCAGAGGCCGUCCCAUCCGGACCCGGACUGCCAGCCAAAACAGAAGGUUGUCAUUUUGACAGACUGACGGCG
ensembl:lncRNA